GAGAAAGCUUGCAAGGACUGCUAAUCCAUGCCUCCGUAUAUAACAAAACGGCUCUCUCA
rnacentral:tRNA from 4 species